rnacentral:rRNA from 1 species
AAUCAACGCUGGCGGCGUGCCUAACACAUGCAAGUCGCACGAGAAAGGGGAGCAAUCCCUGAGUACAGUGGCGCACGGGUGAGUAACACGUGAAUUAUCUACCUCCGAGUGGGGAAUAACUGAGAGAAAUCUUAGCUAAUACCGCAUAACACUUACGAGUCAAAGCAGCAAUGCGCUUGGAGAGGAGUUCGCGGCAGAUUAGUUAGUUGGCGGGGUAANGGCCCACCAAGACGAUGAUCUGUAUCCGGCCUGAGAGGGCGCACGGACACACUGGAACUGAAACACGGUCCAGACUCCUACGGGAGGCAGCAGUGGGGAAUUUUGCGCAAUGGGGGAAACCCUGACGCAGCAACGCCGCGUGGAGGAUGAAAUAUCUUGGUAUGUAAACUCCUUUCGAUGGGGAAGAUUAUGAC